GACGAACGCUGGCGGCGUGCUUAACACAUGCAAGUCGAACGGAAAGGCCCUGCUUUUGUGGGGUGCUCGAGUGGCGAACGGGUGAGUAACACGUGAGUAACCUGCCCUUGACUUUGGGAUAACUUCAGGAAACUGGGGCUAAUACCGGAUAGGAGCUCCUGCUGCAUGGUGGGGGUUGGAAAGUUUCGGCGGUUGGGGAUGGACUCGCGGCUUAUCAGCUUGUUGGUGGGGUAGUGGCUUACCAAGGCUUUGACGGGUAGCCGGCCUGAGAGGGUGACCGGCCACGUUGGGACUGAGAUACGGCCCAGACUGCUACGGGAGGCAGCAGUGGGGAAUAUUGCACAAUGGGCGGAAGCCUGAUGCAGCAACGCCGCGUGCGGGAUGACGGCCUUCGGGUUGUAAACCGCUUUCGCCUGUGACGAAGCGUGAGUGACGGUAAUGGGUAAAGAAGCACCGGCUAACUACGUG
rnacentral:rRNA from 1 species